rnacentral:rRNA from 1 species
CACGUAGGGGGCAAGCGUUGUCCGGAUUUAUUGGGCGUAAAGAGCUCGUAGGCGGCUCAGUAAGUCAGGUGUGAAACCUCCAGGCUCAACCUGGAGACGCCACCUGAUACUGCUGUGGCUAGAGUCCGGUAGGGGAGCGUGGAAUUCCCGGUGUAGCAGUGAAAUGCGUAGAGAUCGGGAGGAACACCAGUGGCGAAGGCGGCCUUCUGGACCAAUACUGACGCUCAUGCACGAAAGCGUGGGGAGCAAACAGG